GUGGCCACAAUCCCUUAGGACGAUGUAAUUUCUCACUGUCUGGAGGUGGGAGCUAUUGUCCUGCUUUCCAGCUUGUUGUCUCAAGUAGUUCUGGAAGGCCCUGGCUUCUGCUGACUCACAAGAGAUGCACCCAGCAAAACCAGCCCUCCAGCCCAUGGCUCGCUCCCUGCCGCCCCCACCCCUCCUAAGGGCUUUUGGAAUGGCUAGGAAGAUAACAAACCUUCCCCCUGCUCGGGGGCAGAGAGCUUAACUGGAGCUGUUGAGUCCAGGUGUGACUGCCAAGAAGGAUCCAGAAGAGCCAAAGAGCCCGAACUUGUCGGCGCUUCCUGCCGCCCGCCGCACACACGUAAAACCCGGAGGAAGUGAGUGGGGAUCAGUGGGAGGAAGCGAGCCAACCGGGCCGGCAACCGCAUCGGUCUGAAGCGGCGAGAGCAACAGGAAAGGGGCCUUGGCACGCCGUGGACUUGGCAAGGCGCCAAGCUGCACUGUUUUUGGGGUGUGCGUGUGGGCGUUUGCUGAGGCCGCCUGUCUUUCCCCGCAGCUCCGGGGCUGCGUGGCCGUGGGCGCGCCAAGCUCGCGCUGGUUACCUGCGCCCAGCGCCCGCCCACCCCUGCCUCGCCAGGGCGCCCCCGCCACCGGAACCUGCUGUCUGCGCAGUGCGGAGGAAGGACCUGCCCGGGGAGUGGUGGCUAAGCGCCCGGGCCGCUGCACGAGGACACGUGGAGGACAGGGUGACGCUGCAGAAGAGCCCGGGUGGGACGGAGAGCACGAGAGCCGAGGACCGGGCAAGGGCGAGUUAGGCAUCCUGUCCACGCGGUGCCAGCAGGUGCGCGCAGGGCGAGGGCGGCUGCCAGCCCGGCCGCGUGCACCCACUCAGGCUGCGCCCGGGGGAGCCCCCUGUCCAGAGGUGGAGGCGCCGUACCUGAAGGUGGACCAACAAGGUACCUGACGGAUGGAGGCAGAGCUGGAGAGAGGCAGAGUGAGGCAGCGCUUGGAAGGAGAGGAGCCGCCGGCUGCCGUGGGGCUGCACCCUGCGCUCUCCUUCUAGGGAGGAUGGCAGAAUUUAUAACCCAGCGUCUGGAUGGAGGCACUGUAAAUUGUAGUCUGGAUGUCUACCCUGCUGUCAAGGAAGAAACUGAUGGGCCAGGUGACUGUACCGGUGUCCCCAGAGGAAACAGCAGUCUUGCAGCAUGGAUUUAACUGCAUGUGCAUGCGUGUAUGGACAGGGAGAAAAAAAGGGAGAUGUCUGCCCAUUUUACACAGGAAGUCUGUCACUUUGCUGGAUCGGGCUUGAUUACAGCUUGUGUUUUCAGCUCCAGCUCAACACCCAUUUCCUGACUAGCGAGAGCUUGGCCAGAGCAGCUGCGUGCAGGAUUUUCCUUUUACUGUGAAAGCCAGCCCCUCGCUUUAACUCCUUGGAGCUCUGAGUGCUCUGUGCCUCGCGAGGACUGAUGGUGGGGCUUUGUUUUCUUCUUCUACCCGUCCCCAUAAACACAGCUGUAUUCAGUAUGGUGAAAAAUUCUAUCCUGUAAAUAGAAAUCUGAUCAAUUUAAUCAAAAUAAAUGUAUCCCAGAUGACUUUGAGACCAGCUGGCUACCCCAGGCUUCAGAUGCUCCAUGCUCAGUGGAGAUGAAUAGUCUUCUAUUUACAUUGUGCCGUUUUGUUUUUUUUUUUAGAAUACCAGAAUAAGCGUCUAAUUAAAAAGAGAAAUCCUUUUCUAAGCAAGAGGCCGUCCUACGGCUCUGAGAGAUGGUUAGGUACAGAUGCGGGUGGUGUCCGGGUGUUUGGAGUCAGCAAUGCCGCGUUUCAAAGGGCAGCGUGCGGCUGUGUUGCGGCUGUGUUGCCGUGGAGCGAGCUCGCAGAGCGCGAGCUGCUGAAGGGGGCCACCUUGCACAGACCUGCUGGUGUGGUCGGGGUGGGGGGGUGUCCCUGGGGUUGGUGGUGGGUUCCCAUCAGUGAGCCGUGGCACUCCAGCCCGGUGGAGCAGGCUUCAGGGGUGGUGGGGGGAGCUUUCCCAGGGGGACCUCUGCUGGGACGCCUGUCUGGU
ensembl:lincRNA